UGUUUGGUGAUAGUCGUGUGUUACUUAGUGUUUUCGUCGCCUCAGUUGCGGAGCCUGAGCAAGGGCAGUUGGCAGGCCCCGCGCCGGCUUUGCACAGCAGUGGGUGUACAGUUGCCACUGCUGUUCUAGCUGGCCGGGGCCGAGUUCGAAUCCGCCACCCUGGGUAUACGGGGCCGGCGCCCUACCCACUGUGGCACAGGCGCUGCCCUCUUCCCAAGCUUCUGAUCCUCACAGCACCAUGAUGGAGUUUUAAGACGUCCAUCAGUGUGUUAUCCUUGAAUAAAGAAGGAAAGUUUUGGAAGCUCAGCCAGGGGCAGUGCUCCUUCACAGAUACUGCACUAACCUUAUGGCCACAGGCCUAAAGUUUGGAUCCCACUCCCAUGGGGACUUGGCUGUGGUGGUUAGAUGAUGGUUUCUACUACUGACCUUCAGGCUGUGACCGGUGGACAGCCAUGCCCUUUCUCCCUGGUUGCUGUGGAUUUUGCUGUCACAAAGGAUGUCUUCUAGCUGGUGCUGAGCAGAUUCUAAGAACUUCUUUCCUGUAUUAACCUGUGUGAGCAGCUGUAGUCAUUGGAGAAAAAAACUCACCUAGAAAUUUGGGGGCACUUGUGGGACAAUUAGAUAGAUACCUUUAACUUUAUCUUGUACAACUGUCUGGUUUUAUCUGAAGAAUUACAAUAAAAUAAUUGAAAGCAAA